GGCGGGCCCCAGGGUCGGACUAGGCUGCGCCGGGGAGUAAACAAGUGGCGGCCAGGGGCGGGCCGGGGGCGUGGGGCUCCGGGCCCCGCCGAGUCUGCUGCGGCUCCGGAUGCGCGGGGUGGCAGUGGCCGGGAGGACGCGGGGCGGCGGGCAGGGCCUCCCAAGCCCGGCUGUCCUCGGCCCGUGCGCGGCGCCCGGAGUCCCACUCCUCCCGAUGCUGUCCCCCGCGCCCGGAGGCCGAGCCAAUUCUCUGGGAAGUUCCCGGCUUGGGAGCGGAGCGGCCGGUCGGAAGAACCUCGGGUGCUGGCGCGCCUGAAGUUGCAGACCAGACUGAAAUGUGCGAGACAUGUGCCUUUUUCUUAGGAAAGGCCCCAGGUACCAGAAAGGUUUUCAGCGCGCCGACCUACGGGGCUAAGAGGGCUGAAAUAAGAACCAGUGACUGAGCGCCGGGAGGUUUAAGGUUUAUGGAAGAUGUUCAUCGCGCCGUACCCUACUAGAGGUUUGGGGACGUGGGACACAGCCCCUGCGUUCCCGCCGCGGACCCCGUGAUAAAUACACAGACACACAAAAUCACUACCGCCUUGAAUCUGGACAGCUACCUCAGGUGGUUAAUAUCUAACAGGAGCAGAGUGGAGCUCAGAAAGACUCAGCGUGGGUGCUGGGUUCCGGCGCGACCAGCCUGAUACCUAGGUCAGCAUCUCAGCCACACAAGCAGGCGGCAGUUCUGUCAGGAAUUACUACAUCUGGUGAUUCCACUUCUCAUAGCUCACCGCUGGGAGAAUAAUUCCUCAGGAUUAACAAGAUCUAUUCCAGAGGAUCCUCACUGCUGAAGCGAUUUUAGAAGACAGUGUGGUCUGUUGACAGUAUGGAAUAUUCUUUACCCAUCAGAUAUGAUCUGUAUGUGAUUGGAAGGAAAUAAACCAACUGCUAACAACACUUCUCUAUAGAUGUUCAGAUUCAGUAAUUUUUGUAUUUUUCUCUACACUUUUGUUUUUUCAAAUUUCCUAGCACAAGAAGACUUUGACUUACUGCACAUGUCAUUUUAAAUGACCUUUAUAAAGACUCUAUAGAAACAAUUUGCUAUGUCAUGAAAGUAACAAUCAAAAAAAGUAUGCACAUUGUGGCCACAAAGUAAAACUUGUGUGGAAGAUUACAGAGUAAGCCGCCAGCAGAAGCAAUAAAGACAUUACUGGGCCUUUGCACUGCAACAUCAUGCCUCUGAAGAAAAAAAAAGUGCAAACAUUACAAUAGAUUCAGCUCCUUUAGUUCUCACUUCUGUCUCCACGUCAAGAUAAAAUACUGACAUUGAAAUAGAAUGGAUGACAUGCUUGAAAUGAGUCAUGUGCCUGAAAAGUCAUUAACAAACAACAGUUCCAGAGAAAAGCCAGGAAAAACUCCCCAUGGAUUUAGAGACAGAGCUCUCACCUUCAACAGGUUACUUUUUCCUUGUCUCAGGCUUCCUUGGAAAACAACCUAUAACUAACUUUCUGGGAGUAAAGCUUCAGGUGGAAGAACAAUUGGAUCAAACUUGGAAAACAUGCCCCCAGUUUGUCUACUCCAUUGAACUUUGCAUGCUUGGAGCCCCUGGCCUCAGCACACUCAAUCGCACAAGCCAGCCUGCAGCACCUGUACAGCACCAUGGGAGUCCCCUGCAGAGCUGCAACUUUGAGAGUGGGUAUAGUGACGUAACUCAGGUUCUUCAAGGGAUGAACACUCCAACUUUGAAACCACUAGCCUGUAGGUGUGGACGAAAAGGCAGCUGCAUGUUAUAAAACAAUAUUACUCAUACUUUUGGAUCAAGCUUCUUUCAGUCCCAUGGGUAGGGAGGAGGGGCAAUUUGCUGAAGCCCACUGCCCUUCCAGUACUCACAAGCCAAGGGCCCUAUGGGAUCUGUUUCACAGGACUCAUGCUUAUGGCAGCUGAGCACAUCUGUCCUGUAUGUCUGCCAGCAGCCACGUCCCUCUCACUCCUGUGACGACAGCCUUGACUAUAUUUAGAAAUUCCAUUUCUGAUUGCAUUUCACUGCUGAAUGGUCCUAGAAUCCUUUAUUGCCCUUGUCCCAUCACAAGAGACAGCCAGCCACAGCCACUUUUAUCUCAACAACAUACUGAAUACUGACAGAACAAACAGGCAAGUUGUAGAUUCACCAGGAUUUAUACAUAUUUGAUUUUUUAUUACCAAUCAAAAAUAAAUUCCAUAUAU
rnacentral:lncRNA from 1 species